rnacentral:lncRNA from 1 species
GCUGGCACCUUGAUCUUGGACUUCUCAGACUUCAAAACUUUGGAUAAGGAAGUUGAGGACAGCAAGUCACAGUCACAGUCUGAGCCAAUUCUCAGUGGCCAGGGCUAUAGAAGGACACAGGCCAUAAGAAGAUAAGGAGGAACCUUGCACUGCUGGCCUCUGACAGUGAGUAGAACCCAAUCUCUCUCUAAGCCAGUGACCCAAUUUCCUCUGUCUUAAACAGCUCAUAGUACAGCUGGCUCUUUCUCAUUCUUCAGGCUGCUGUGAAAUCUUCCCUGACUUCCCCAGCAUAGGACACAGAUCCUCCCUGCUGUUCUUAAUAACACACUUUUUUUUUUAUUUCUUUCAGGGCUUCUCACCAUCUGGUUAUUUUAUUGAUUUGUUUACAUGUUUAUUGUCUGUUUUUCCCACCAGAAUGCAAGCUCCACAAGGCCAGGAAUCUUUCCUGUCCAAUUCACCACAGCAGCCUCAACCUGGCAGACAGUUCAGCAUACAGCUAAAUAAUGGCUCCCAAAGAUGUGUCUACAUCCUAAUCUCCAGAAUCUGUGAAUGUUACUUUAUGUGGCAAGUACGUGGCAGAUGUAAUUAAGUCAAGGAUCUUUGGAUGGUUAUCCUGAAUUAUCUGGGUGGGCCCUAAAUACAAUCACAAGUGUCCUUAUAGGAGAGAGGCUGAAGGAGAUUUGGUACCAACAGAAGAGGAGGAGGAAAUUGUGAUCAUGCAGAAACUGGAGUGAUGGAGUCACAAGCCAAGGAAUGCCAGCAGCCACCAGAAGCCGAAAGAGGCCCUGCCAACACCUUGAUUUAGGCCUAAUGAAACUGAGUUUAGAUUUCUGGACCCCAGAACUGUGAAAGAAUAAAUUUCUGUUGUGUUAAGCCCCUAAUUUUGUGGUAAUGUGUCACAGCAGCCCUUGGAACCUAAUACACUCCCCAAGCCAUCACAAUGACGGUUAAGGGAAGUAAAACGAUAAAAUUCAUAAAGAUAAAGAGAAUAACAGAAAAGGAUUUCAAUAAGUGUUUGGAAGAUGGAAAAGGAAAGAAUGAGAAGCAACUUACUUAUCAGAGUAGAGAAAAUUACCUGAGAGCCUGGAGAAAGGGAAGUGAAUAAGACAGAGUCAGUUCUCCCCAGAGAAGCCAGACACAGGGUCAUUGAGCACCAAGCAGGGGCAGGAGUGGGGUGCAGGGCUGGCACUGGGGAUAGAGUGGAAACAUUAACAUGGACCUUGGAUCCCUGGGCCCUGACUCCUCUGACACUGGUCUUCCUGAACUAGCUGCAUCCCUUCUUGUCAUGCCCUCCACUCCAGUCCCUGCCCUUGACCCCACCACCACCACCUCAGCUGACACACAUCAGUUCAGCUCACACUCCUUCUGUUAGAAAGAACCAGUCACAAGGUUCUUCCUGAAUGCAAUGGGGCUGGGAAAUGCUGAGCAGUGCCAGGCACAGGCUUCCUCUAAACCACUCUGCACCAAGGAAGAAGGACAUUUUUUUGAUGGUCUAAUACCCGUCUCUGCCACACUCUCUAAGGCAAUUAAUUUUAAAAUUUUAGAAUACUGGAAAUAAAGAAAAGAUACUAAAAACUUCCAGAAUGAAAAACCAGGUCACAUAUUGCCUUAUGGAUCAGCAAUCUGACUGGCAUCAGCCUUUUCAAUAGCAAUACAAAAUGCCAGAAGACAACAGGGCAAUGCCCUCAAAAUUCUGAGAGAAAAUAUCUUGCUAAUAAAACAUCUAUUACACCUAGCAAGCAGCCAUCCCAAAGGCAGAAGGCUGUGAAAGAACAAAAGGGAGCUAUCUAGGGAGAAAAACAUAACUGUUAAUUAUUAUUAUAAUAAUAAUAUAUUUUUAGAGACAAGGUCUCUGUCAACCCAUGCUGAGGUG